rnacentral:rRNA from 1 species
AUUGAACGCUGGCGGCAGGCCUAACACAUGCAAGUCGAGCGAGAGGCGGACGGGUGAGUAAUGUAUGGGGACUGCCUGAUAGAGGGGGAUAAAUACUGGAAACGGUGGCUAAUACCGCAUACUAUCGGAUAACCCAUAUGGGAUUAGCUAGUAGGUGGGGUAAAGGCUCACCUAGGCGACGAUCUCUAGCUGGUCUGAGAGGAUGAUCAGCCACACGGGGACUGAAACACGGCCCAAACUCCUACGGAGGCAGCAGUGGGGAAGAUUGCACAACGGGCGCAAGCCUGAGGCACCCAAGCCGCGUGUAUGAAGACGGCCUUAGGGUUGUAAAGUACUUUCAGCGGGGAGACAUUACCCUCAGAAGAAGCACCGGCUAACUCCGGCCCAGCAGCCGCGGUAAUUC